CUUAUUUUGAGAUCUUGUCAUUAGUAUUUACAGAUACAUCAUUGUACAUUUGUACAUGUACAUGUAUGAUCAUGGUGAGCAUAUAAGGUUAGUUUGACUCAAAUAUAUCAAGUAAACUUGUAAAGUAAUAAGUAAAUCACAAUUUACCUUUCUGUUCUAAAUUGUUCAUUUAGAUCAUUUUGUACAUUAACCUGUCCAUUUAAAAAUAGAAUUAAUCAUACAAAAAAGUCUUGUAACUUUGAAAGGUUGAAUAAGUUUUCUAUGUUUUAAUAUGGUAAGAUGUUAAGAGAUCAUUAUAUAUUUUCCACAGGUUCUUAGGAUAAUAAAAUAACUAAUUUGAUAUUAAAUACAAUUUUCCAAAUUCAAUUCAAAGAAUAAUUGAUCACCUGAUAAGCUGUUAUUUCUUUAAACAGAUAAAAGAUACAUCAGCUGACAGACUUACAUGUAGAGGAGCCUUUAAUUAGAGAAAUGGAUCAACUUGAUUUUGAAGUUAACCUACUGCAUUUAUAUGAAAAAUUCAGAAGUGAGUACCAGUAUCUCUUAAAGUACAUUUUUUACAUGUUUAUCUUCAUUUAGAUAGAGUACCAUAUAAGAUAAAGUAUGAAAUGUGACAUUCUAUGCAAUUGUAACUUCAUUUUGAUAUAUAUAUUUACAUGUACAAUUGAUGCUAUACGUACGUGCAAGCGCAUAUGACAUUUUAAAUACAUGUAUCAGUAUACAGUACAAUAUACAUCAGUACAUACAUGUACAUAAUGCAAAUCAUAAUAAGAAGGCAUAACAAUUGAACUGUUUAAACAAUUAUUAGAUGACCCGUGUCACCUUAAUUUAAGAAAAAAAUAAAACACAGAGAACACACAGACAAAAAUUAAUGAGACCAUGUACUCCAGAUAUGCAAGAAGGCUCCCACUACAAAUGAAUAUGAAGUCCUGAAUGUGAAAUCCUCUAAAAAAUUAUAUUAAACUUCAAAUAUGUGUACUUGAAUACAUGUAUAUAUAAUAUUCAAAUUCAUCUUAUUUAAUAUAAUUAAUUUAAAACAUUUUCAAGCAAAAAACUGAUGUAUAAAUGUAUAGCUUAACUGUUCCUUUAUUUUUUUUUUUCAGGUGACUGAGCUAAAAGAAAAACACACAUGAAAAUGUAACCAGUUUGGCACCAUCAAAGUGACCAACAUAACAUUUGAAUACCUUUUAAGUUUUUUAUGUAUAUGUUUGACUUUUGGUAAUAUUUCGGCAGUUUCUUCAGUAAAUGAGACACAUCAAUGUUGAAAAUGACAAUUUUGAUAGAGGACAAUUAUAAGACUACCAACUUU
rnacentral:lncRNA from 1 species